rnacentral:rRNA from 1 species
UGGGUGGAUGAGUGGCGAACGGGUGAGUAACACGUGGGUAAUCUGCCCUGUACUCUGGGAUAAGCCUGGGAAACUGGGUCUAAUACCGGAUAGGACACACUGCCGCAUGGUGGUGUGUGGAAAGCUCCGGCGGUACAGGUUGAGCCCGCGGCCUAUCAGCUUGUUGGUGGGGUGAUGGCCUACCAAGGCGACGACGGGUAGCCGGCCUGAGAGGGUGACCGGCCACACUGGGACUGAGACACGGCCCAGACUCCUACGGGAGGCAGCAGUGGGGAAUAUUGCACAAUGGGCGCAAGCCUGAUGCAGCGACGCCGCGUGGGGGAUGACGGCCUUCGGGUUGUAAACCCCUUUCGCCAGGGACGAAGCGUAAGUGACGGUACCUGGAGAAGAAGCACCGGCCAACUACGUGCCAGCAGCCGCGGUAAUACGUAGGGUGCAAGCGUUGUCCGGAAUUAUUGGGCGUAAAGAGCUCGUAGGCGGUGUGUCACGUCUGCCGUGAAAACCUGCGGCUUAACCGUGGGCGUGCGGUGGAUACGGGCAUCACUUGAGUUCGGUAGGGGAGACUGGAAUUCCUGGUGUAGCGGUGGAAUGCGCAGAUAUCAGGAGGAACACCGGUGGCGAAGGCGGGUCUCUGGGCCGAUACUGACGCUGAGGAGCGAA